rnacentral:lncRNA from 1 species
CCAGGACUAAAUUGUGUAUAUACGCCAAACGCGCGUUUCGUCUACAAAAGACUCAUCAGUGACGCUCGAAUCCAAAAAAGUUAAAAAAGGACAAAUAAAGUACGAAGUUGAAGAGCAUUGAGGACCAAAAUUCCUAAAAGGUUUGCCAAAUACAGCUAAGGUAAUCUAUGCCUGAGGUAGAAAAGUCUUAGUAUUUCAAAAAUUCAAAAUUU